rnacentral:rRNA from 1 species
AGUGAACGCUGGCGGUAGGCCUAGCACAUGCAAGUCGAACGGCAGCACAGUAAGAGCUUGCUCUUACGGGUGGCGAGUGGCGGACGGGUGAGGAAUACAUCGGAAUCUACUUUUUCGUGGGGGAUAACGUAGGGAAACUUACGCUAAUACCGCAUACGACCUACGGGUGAAAGCAGGGGGUCUUCGGACCUUGCGCGAUUGAAUGAGCCGAUGUCGGAUUAGCUAGUUGGCGGGGUAAAGGCCCACCAAGGCGACGAUCCGUAGCUGGUCUGAGAGGAUGAUCAGCCACACUGGAACUGAGACACGGUCCAGACUCCUACGGGAGGCAGCAGUGGGGAAUAUUGGACAAAGGGCGCAAGCCUGAUCCAGCCAUACCGCGUGGGUGAAGAAGGCCUUCGGGUUGUAAAGCCCUUUUGUUGGGAAAGAAAAGAAGCAGGUUAAUACCCCGCUGUUCUGACGGUACCCAAAGAAUAAGCACCGGCUAACUUCGUG